UAUUCAUAAAAAAUCCUUAAAUGAGGAAUGAUCAGCUUAUUAGCUAAUCCGCUGUUUAGGCUUAAUAAGCCGUUGAUAAGAACCAUGAUUUAUAAACGUUUAUUAGGGGCUUCUUAACUAAUAAGCAGAUUAGACGCGUUAUGUUGGCAUCUUGGCGCAUCAUAGACUAAAAUAUGGCUGAACAUUAAAUUAAAAAAAAAGUUUGACAGCAGCACUAGCGGCCAAUCGUAAUAUCAUGAAGAAGUUGAUUUACUAUUUUGACUAAUUUUCGGAAUUAUCUCUUAUUAAAAUAGCUUCUGUGCCACAAAAAUAAUUAAAGAUUGCUGCAUGGCCGGAAAUUUUAUAAAACUUGUUUCAAUAUUAUGUGGAAUGGAGUCGAAAGAAGUGGGGUUCUUUCAAACUAACCGAGAAGUGCAUAAUUAGCGAAGAGAAGAAGUCGAAGCCAGAUACCGUACCAGACCCCACUCGCCUCCGCAAGAAGAACCAUUGAAUAAUGGUUCAUGAGUUCACACUAAUUUAUUCUGGUUGCGGCAGAAAUUCACAACGGGUCAACAAAACGAAGUCCAUUCAGACUCACUAAAUCAGGUAUGAACAAUGUCCUAUACUUUCUUGUUUACCUUACAUACCUGCAGUGUUUAGAGUUAGACAAAGAAAAGUCUGCAGCGAUUUUGAUGAUAACUCUAGGUACAGUUCAAAUUUUGGGCAUGACCAUCUAUUUAUAAUAUAUUAUAGACAUAGGUACGUAACAUAAAAUGUAGUAUCUGAACAUGUUAAGAUUGACACUUGCAUUGACGGCUUUGACAUUAUUUAAAGGUUAUAACACUUAUAAAUUUGGUAAAUUUAUCCGUGCUUUGUGGAGCUUGGUGUAUUUGUUUAAAAUUAUGCAUAGGUACCUACCUAUUAUAGGUAUUAUAUUUCUUAACCAUACAAUGGAACCAAAUGAUAAUUAUAUGUACAAGUGAUGUUUUAUUGUAACAAGCCGUUGUGUCGCGAGUUUACUUCUUGUCAUCGUGUCAUUAGUAAUAAUUUUGUAAUGGUAUUUAUUUUAUGCAUGGAACAAUGCGAUGGUUAUUAUACUCGAUCACCUAGCCAACCUACUUACUACGAGGAAGGAUGGUUCACAAAUUAGGCAGUAUUUAAAUACCAGUGUACAGGUGUGUGUAUAGAUACUGUGUACCUGCUGAUUAAAAAUAAGAUGUUUUCUGCGUACAGUUGGUUAUAAUUAAGUUGGCUAAUCUAUAUCUCAUCAGACAGUUUGGACAUCUAUUCCAGAGAGUUUGCAAGGUCAAUGUACAAUGAUAUCAUAUUAUAGUACCUAAUAGGUAAUGAAUAAUAAAUGAAGUCAUAUUGAUCUCUGUCUAUAGCUUAAAAUGAUACUUAGUUACCAUAACUAUAUUGAAUCAUGUGACCCUAACUUAAGUACAUCCAUUAUAUCAUAAGCUAAAAAUUAAAGAAAAUUGUUGAAUACAAAAAUACUUUUAUUCAAAUUAUUGCAUCUUUUCAGAUCCAGAAAGUACCAUCAUUAGCCACUGUUAUUGUUGAAUAACUCCAGGCUUUGGAAGAAAAGCUGUGGCCUGUGAACAGCUGUGAAUAUUGGUCAGAGAAGUGUAACUGACUCCGUACACUGCAAGUCCCAGCAGGAAAUCAGCAAGAAACCUAAAAGAAAAAAAACAUCAAAAUGAAAACCUAGCUUGAUUUAGGUUGAAGUAAUAAAAUUGUUCUAAUUUAA